rnacentral:rRNA from 1 species
AUACUUANUGGCAGACGGGAUGAGUAACAUGUAGGUAUCUACCCUUUUGCCUGGAAUAACACGAGGAAACUUGUGCUAAUACCGGAUAAGUCUUUACGGAGAAAGCUUUAUGCACCAUUGGAUGAGCCUGCACGUUGAUUAGUUUGUUGGUGGGGUAAUGGCCUACCAAGACUGUGAUCAAUAGCUGAUUUGAGAGGAUGAUCAGCCACAUUGGGACUGAGACACGGCCCAAACUCCUACGGGAGGCAGCAGUGGGGAAUCUUGCACAAUGGAGGAAACUCUGAUGCAGCGAUGCCGCGUGAGUGAAGAAGGCCUUUGGGUUGUAAGCUCUUCCGUCGGGGAAGAAAAUGACUGUACCCGAAUAANAAGGUCCGGCUAACUUCGUGCCAGCAGCCGCGGUAAUACGAAGGGACCUAGCGUAGUUCGGAAUUACUGGGCUUAAAGAGUUCGUAGGUGGUUGAAAAAGUUAGUGGUGAAAUCCCAGAGCUUAACUCUGGAACUGCCAUUAAAACUUUUCAGCUAGAGUAUGAUAGAGGAAAGCAGAAUUUCUAGUGUAGAGGUGAAAUUCGUAGAUAUUAGAAAGAAUACCAAUUGCGAAGGCAGCUUUCUGGAUCAUUACUGACACUGAGGAACGAAAGCAUGGGUAGCGAAGAGGAUUAGAUACCCUCGUAGUCCAUGCCGUAAACGAUGUGUGUUAGACGUUGGAAAUUUAUUUUCAGUGUCGCAGCGAAAGCGAUAA